rnacentral:rRNA from 1 species
AGAGUUUGAUUAUGGCUCAAGAUGAACGCUGGCGGCGUGCUUAACACAUGCAAGUCGAACGGGCUCAUAUUGAAACCUAGUGAUGUAUGAGUUAGUGGCGGACGGGUGAGUAACGCGUGGAGAACCUGCCGUAUACUGGGGGAUAACACUUAGAAAUAGGUGCUAAUACCGCAUAAGCGCACAGCUUCGCAUGAAGCAGUGUGAAAAACUCCGGUGGUAUACGAUGGAUCCGCGUCUGAUUAGCUGGUUGGCGGGGUAACAGCCCACCAAGGCGACGAUCAGUAGCCGGCCUGAGAGGGUGAACGGCCACAUUGGGACUGAGACACGGCCCAAACUCCUACGGGAGGCAGCAGUGGGGAAUAUUGCACAAUGGGGGAAACCCUGAUGCAGCGACGCCGCGUGAGUGAAGAAGUAUUUCGGUAUGUAAAGCUCUAUCAGCAGGGAAGAAAAUGACGGUACCUGACUAAGAAGCCCCGGCUAACUACGUGCCAGCAGCCGCGGUAAUACGUAGGGGGCAAGCGUUAUCCGGAUUUACUGGGUGUAAAGGGAGCGUAGACGGCAGCGCAAGUCUGAAGUGAAAUCCCAUGGCUUAACCAUGGAACUGCUUUGGAAACUGUGCAGCUGGAGUGCAGGAGAGGUAAGCGGAAUUCCUAGUGUAGCGGUGAAAUGCGUAGAUAUUA